rnacentral:rRNA from 1 species
GACAGAGGGUGCGAACGUUGUUCGGAAUUACUGGGCGUAAAGCGCGUGUAGGCUGUUCGGAAAGUCGGGUGUGAAAGCCCUGGGCUCAACCUAGGAAGUGCACUCGAAACUCCCGAACUGGAGUCCCGGAGAGGAAGGUGGAAUUCUCGGUGUAGAGGUGAAAUUCGUAGAUAUCAAGAGGAACACCUGAGGUGAAGACGGGUUGCUGGGCCAACACUGACGCUGAUGCGCGAAAGCCAGGGGAGCAAACGGG